GCUCAGGAUGAACGCUGGCGGCGUGCCUAAUACAUGCAAGUCGAGCGACUGAUUAGAAGCUUGCUUCUAUGACGUUAGCGGCGGACGGGUGAGUAACACGUGGGCAACCUGCCUGUAAGACUGGGAUAACUUCGGGAAACCGAAGCUAAUACCGGAUAGGAUCUUCUCCUUCAUGGGAGAUGAUUGAAAGAUGGUUUCGGCUAUCACUUACAGAUGGGCCCGCGGUGCAUUAGCUAGUUGGUGAGGUAACGGCUCACCAAGGCAACGAUGCAUAGCCGACCUGAGAGGGUGAUCGGCCACACUGGGACUGAGACACGGCCCAGACUCCUACGGGAGGCAGCAGUAGGGAAUCUUCCGCAAUGGACGAAAGUCUGACGGAGCAACGCCGCGUGAGUGAUGAAGGCUUUCGGGUCGUAAAACUCUGUUGUUAGGGAAGAACAAGUACGAGAGUAACUGCUCGUACCUUGACGGUACCUAACCAGAAAGCCACGGCUAACUACGUGC
rnacentral:rRNA from 2 species